UACGAAGGGGGCUAGCGUUGCUCGGAAUCACUGGGCGUAAAGCGCACGUAGGCGGCUUGUUAAGUCAGGGGUGAAAUCCUGGAGCUCAACUCCAGAACUGCCUUUGAUACUGCAAAUCUCGAGUCCGGAAGAGGUGAGUGGAAUUCCUAGUGUAGAGGUGAAAUUCGUAGAUAUUAGGAAGAACACCAGUGGCGAAGGCGGCUCACUGGUCCGGUACUGACGCUGAGGUGCGAAAGCGUGGGGAGCGAUCCGG
rnacentral:rRNA from 1 species